GCAAGUCGAACGGUAACAGGAAACAGCUUGCUGUUUCGCUGACGAGUGGCGGACGGGUGAGUAAUGUCUGGGAAACUGCCUGAUGGAGGGGGAUAACUACUGGAAACGGUAGCUAAUACCGCAUAACGUCGCAAGACCAAAGAGGGGGACCCUCGGGCCUCUUGCCAUCGGAUGUGCCCAGAUGGGAUUAGCUUGUUGGUGGGGUAACGGCUCACCAAGGCGACGAUCCCUAGCUGGUCUGAGAGGAUGACCAGCCACACUGGAACUGAGACACGGUCCAGACUCCUACGGGAGGCAGCAGUGGGGAAUAUUGCACAAUGGGCGCAAGCCUGAUGCAGCCAUGCCGCGUGUAUGAAGAAGGCCUUCGGGUUGUAAAGUACUUUCAGCGGGGAGGAAGGGAGUAAAGUUAAUACCUUUGCUCAUUGACGUUACCCGCAGAAGAAGCACCGGCUAACUCCGUGCCAGCAGCCGCGGUAAUACGGAGGGUGCAAGCGUUAAUCGGAAUUACUGGGCGUAAAGCGCACGCAGGCGGUUUGUUAAGUCAGAUGUGAAAUCCCCGGGCUCAACCUGGGAACUGCAUCUGAUACUGGCAAGCUUGAGUCUCGUAGAGGGGGGUAGAAUUCCAGGUGUAGCGGUGAAAUGCGUAGAAAUCUGGAGGAAUACCGGUGGCGAAGGCGGCCCCCUGGACGAAGACUGACGCUCAGGUGCGAA
rnacentral:rRNA from 1 species